ACGGCUCAUUAACACGUGGUUAACAUACCCUCAGGUGGGGGAUAACCUUGGGAAACUGAGGAUAAUACCCCAUAGAAAAAGCAGUCUGGAACGAUUCUUUUUCGAAAGCAUAUGCGCCUGAGGAUUGGACUGCGCUCGAUUAGGUAGUUGGUGGGGUAAUGGCCCACCUAGCCUACGAUCGGUACGGGCCUUGAGAGAGGAAGCCCGGAGAUGGGGACUGAGACACGGCCCCAGGCCCUACGGGGCGCAGCAGGCGCGAAACCUCCGCAAUGCACGAAAGUGCGACGGGGGGAUCCCAAGUGCUCAUGCACAGCAUGGGCUUUUAUCAAGUGUAAACAGCUUGAGGAAUAAGGGCUGGGCAAGUUCGGUGCCAGCAGCCGCGGUAACACCGACGGCCCGAGUGGUGGCCACUUUUAUUGGGCCUAAAGCGUCCGUAGCCGGUCCAGUAAGUCCUUGUUUAAAUCCUGCGGCUUAACCGCAGGACUGGCAGGGAUACUGCUGGACUUGGGACCGGGAGAGGACAAGGGUACUUCAGGGGUAGCGGUGAAAUGUGUUGAUCCUUGAAGGACCACCUAUGGCGAAGGCACUUGUCUGGAACGG
rnacentral:rRNA from 1 species